AGCUCCAAUAGCGUAUAUUAAAGUUGUUGUGGUUAAAAAGCUCGUAGUUGGAUUUCGGCGGGUAUGGGUUGGUUUGAAUUGAUUCAACACUGACUUUUUUACCCGGGGGUUUUGCCAGAUUCUUACGGGGGAUCUUUUCCGUUUUUCCUUUGGAACUGGCAGGUUUACUUUGAAAAAAUAUAGAGUGCUCAAAGCAAGCUUACUUCUUGAAUAGUUGCGCAUGGAAUAAUAGAAUAGGAAGUCGUUUCUAUUUUGUUGGUUUUCGGAAAUCGACUUAAUGAUUAAUAGGGAUAGUCGGGGGCAUUCGUAUUCAAACGACAGAGGUGAAAUUCUUGGACCGUUUGAAGACGAACUAAGGCGAAAGCAUUUGCCAAGAAUGUUUUCA
rnacentral:rRNA from 1 species